rnacentral:rRNA from 1 species
CCUAGGGAGGCAGCAGUAAGGAAUAUUGGUCAAUGGACGAAAGUCUGAACCAGCCAUGCCGCGUGAAGGAUGAAGGCCCUCUGGGUUGUAAACUUCUUUUAUCUGGGACGAAAAAAGGGGAUUCUUCCUCACUUGACGGUACCAGAGGAAUAAGCACCGGCUAACUCCGUGCCAGCAGCCGCGGUAAUACGGAGGGUGCAAGCGUUAUCCGGAUUUACUGGGUUUAAAGGGUGCGUAGGUGGGUAAGUAAGUCAGUGGUGAAAUCUUCGAGCUUAACUCGGAAACUGCCAUUGAUACUAUUUAUCUUGAAUACUUUGGAGGUAAGCGGAAUAUGUCAUGUAGCGGUGAAAUGCUUAGAUAUGACAUAGAACACCAAAUUGCGAAGGCAGCUUACUACACAGUCAUUGACACUGAGGCACGAAAAGCGUGGGGAUCAAACAGGAUUAGAUACCCUGGUAGUCCACGCCCUAAACGAUGGAUACUCGACAUCAGCGAUACACUGUUGGUGUCUGAGCGAAAAGCAUUAAGUAUCCCACCUGGGAAGUACGAUCGCAAGAUUGAAACUUAAAAUGAAAUUGACGG